rnacentral:rRNA from 1 species
ACCCGCUGAACUUAAGCAUAUCAAUAAGCGGAGGAAAAGAAACUAACAAGGAUUCCCCUAGUAACUGCGAGUGAAGCGGGAAAAGCUCAAAUUUGAAAUCUGGCAGUCUUUGAUUGUCCGAGUUGUAAUCUAGAGAAGUGUUACCCGCGCUGGACCGUGUACAAGUCUCCUGGAAUGGAGCGUCAUAGAGGGUGAGAAUCCCGUCUUUGACACGGACUGCCAGGGCUUUGUGGUGCGCUCUCAAAGAGUCGAGUUGUUUGGGAAUGCAGCUCAAAAUGGGUGGUAAAUGCCAUCUAAAGCUAAAUACAGGCGAGAGACCGAUAGCGAACAAGUACCGUGAGGGAAAGAUGAAAAGAACUUUGGAAAGAGAGUUAAACAGUACGUGAAAUUGCUGAAAGGGAAACGCUUGAAGUCAGUCACGUUGGCUAGGAAUCAACCUUGCUUUUGCUGGGUGUACUUUCUGGUUGACGGGUCAGCAUCAGUUUUGACCAGUGGAUAAAGGCAUGAGAAAUGUGGCUUCUUCGGAAGUGUUAUAGUCUUGUGUUGUAUACAUUGGUUGGGACUGAGGAACUCAGCACGCCGCAAGGCCGGGGUUCGCCCACGUUCGUGCUUAGGAUGCUGGCAUAAUGGCUUUAAUCGACCCGUCUUGAAACACGG